ACGUAGGUGGCAAGCGUUGUCCGGAAUUAUUGGGCGUAAAGCGCGCGCAGGUGGUUAUAUAAGUCUGAUUUUAAAGUUCGGGGCUCAACCCCGUGAUGGAUUGGAAACUGUAUGACUUGAGUACAGUAGAGGUAAGCGGAAUUCCCAGUGUAGCGGUGAAAUGCGUAGAUAUUGGGAGGGACGCCAGUGGCGAAGGCGGCUUAAUGGGCUUAAACUGACACUUAGUCGCGAAAGCUAGGGUAGCAACAGG
rnacentral:rRNA from 1 species